CCGUAACUAUAACGGUCCUAAGGUAGCGAAAUUCCUUGUCGGGUAAGUUCCGACCCGCACGAAAGGCGUAAUGAUUUGGGCACUGUCUCGACAAUGCACCCGGUGAAAUUGAAAUACCAGUGAAGAUGCUGGUUACCUGCGCCAGGACGGAAAGACCCCAUGGAGCUUUACUCCAGCUUGAUACUGGGAUUCGGUAUUGCAUGUACAGGAUAGGUGGGAGGCUAUGAAGCGAUGACGCCAGUUGUCGCAGAGCCGCUGUUGGGAUACCACCCCUGCAGUACUGGGUUUCUAACCUGCGGCCGUAAUCCGGCCGGGGGACAAUGUCUGACGGGGAGUUUGACUGGGGCGGUCGCCUCCGAAAGGGUAUCGGAGGCGCUCAAAGGUUCCCUCAGAAUGGUUGGAAACCAUUCGAAGAGUGCAAAGGCAGAAGGGAGCUUGACUGCGACACCGACGGGUGGAGCAGGUACGAAAGUAGGACUUAGUGAUCCGGUGGUAUGAAAGUGGGAUUGCCAUCGCUCAACGGAUAAAAGCUACCCUGGGGAUAACAGGCUUAUCACUCCCAAGAGUUCACAUCGACGGAGUGGUUUGGCACCUCGAUGUCGGCUCAUCGCAUCCUGGGGCUGUAGUAGGUCCCAAGGGUUGGGCUGUUCGCCCAUUAAAGCGGUACGCGAGCUGGGUUCAGAACGUCGUGAGACAGUUCGGUCCCUAUCCGGCGUGGGCGUAGGAUAUCUGAGAGGAGCUGUCCUUAGUACGAGAGGACCGGGAUGGACUGACCUCUGGUGUACCGGUUGCACUGCCAAGUGCAUGGCCGGGUAGCCAAGUCGGGACGGGAUAAACGCUGAAGGCAUCUAAGCGUGAAGCCCCCCUCAAGAUGAGAUAUCCCAUAGAGUAAUCUAGUAAGACCCCUUGAAGACGACGAGGUAGAUAGGUGAAAGGUGGAAGCGUGGUGACAUGUGGAGCUGAUUCAUACUAAUAGGUCGAGGGCUUAACCGA
rnacentral:rRNA from 1 species